rnacentral:lncRNA from 1 species
CGAGAUCAGGUGUAUGAUGAGAAGGCCAAUACUAUCACCAUUACUGUAUUGUGUUGCAAUCCUGAAAAAAUUCGUGACAAAUUGUGUUGCAAAGGAGGGGGAGUGAUCAAGAGUAUCGAGAUCAAAGAGCCUUCAAAGCCUAAGGCUCCUGAAAAGCCCAAGGAGCCCGCAAAACCUAAAGAACCGGAGAAACCUAAAGUGCCCGAGAAGCCCAAAGUGCCUGAGAAGCCUAAAGAACCAGAAAAGCCCAAGCAGCCGGAGAAACCCAAAGAGCCCGAGAAGCCUAAGGAGCCUGAGAAGCCAAAAGAACCGGAAAAACCAAAGGAACCUACGAAACCCAAGGAACCCGAGAAGCCCAAAGAGCCUGAAAAGCCCAAGGAACCCGAGAAGCCCAAACAACCUGAAAAGCCCAAAGAACCUGAGAAGCCCAAGGAAGCUCCUAAACCCGCACCGGUAGCUCCACCACCACAACCACCACCACCGUAUGCUCCAGAGCCAGUGAUAGUGAUGCCAGUACAAGGAUACCCGCAACAACC